CCUUUGGAGUGCGAUAUCAAACGUUAGUAGUUCGUGAGGGCGAGAACGCGCACGUUGAAAAAGGAA
rnacentral:ncRNA from 1 species